CGGCCUCCAGUGUUACAGUUGCAACAUCAUCUCAGGAACCAAAUACAUUGAUAAGGGCUGUACGAGCCCAGAGACCGUCACCUGCUCCCACUCACACAAGGGCUUCAAACAGCGAUUCUGCAUCAAGAUAGAAAGCGUGGUGCUGGGAAAGCUCCUGACUAGCGGCUGUGCCACGUCCCGUCACUGCCAGCAGCAGGAGCUCCCUGGUGUGCGAAUCCACUGCUGUGACACCGACCUGUGUAACCGCGCCCCACCUCACACCCUCCACCGCCUGGCCCUCCUCGCCCUCUGCCUCUUCUGGGCCGCCGCCCUAUGAUAUUGUCCGGGUCCCCGAACAUUCAUCUACCCCGUUCUCCGGACACUGGACCUGGGAAUGAAAUUUCGUCAGGGGGUGGAAGUGGAACUUGCUCCAUGGGGAAACGAUUAGCCUCAGAACACGCCGACCGUCCCCAGGACUCUAUGGGGAUCUUAUUUCUUACCCAACUGGAUGCUAAGUGUUGGCGUGGUUCUCAUUGUCUUCCUCAUGAAUGGAAAUGGGUGUAACACGGGGAAAUUAGCAGGUACCGCGUCGGACCAUUACCCAUCAAUUGUCAUUCGAAGCUUCUGAAUAUGUUACGGUCUUCCACUGACGUCAGAGGAGUACCUGAAAGCUUUCUGUGCUUGGUUACCCUAUCCCAAAAUUAAAGAAGUGUAUGACCUCA